rnacentral:rRNA from 1 species
GUCAGGCGGGGCCACCCGCCGAGUUUAAGCAUAUAAAUAAGCGGAGGAGAAGAAACUUACGAGGAUUCCCCUAGUAACGGCGAGCGAACCGGGAUCAGCCCAGCUUGAGAAUCGGGCGGCCGCGCCGUUCGAAUUGUAGUCUGGAGAAGCGUCCUCAGCGACGGACCGGGCCCAAGUCCCCUGGAAAGGGGCGCCGGGGAGGGUGAGAGCCCCGUC